GGCAAGGUAGUUUAGUAUAGAAUAUCUAUUUUACACGUAGGAGGUGGGUAUUAUCCUCAUUGCUA
rnacentral:tRNA from 1 species